UCCUAUAAUUUUGUGGAUUAAUUUAUAGAUUUUUGAAAUUAGGGUUUCAUGAUUUUGUUUGGGGUUUCUCUACUCUUUGGCCGGUUGAUUUUGUGUACUGAUUUGGGUUUGGUCUUGAUUAUGUGUGUGAUGUGUUCCCUGUUGGUGGAGGAUUUGGACGGUUGAGGUAGUCGGUUAAGUGUUGGCAGUGAGGGUGUGUGUGGGCUGUUUACUGAUUUGGUGAUUUUUGUAGUCUUGGAUUUUGAUACCCCUGUUUUGAUAAUCUAGUUUCUUGUAGGUUGUUGAUGAAUUUUGGGUAGAACCGUGUAUUUGGAGGUUUAAGGAAUUCCCUAUUUUUGGUGGAAGUUGACAGUGGGUCUUUGGUGAUGUUUGAAUUGUAUUGCGAUGUUUUGAUUAGGAGUGGUAGAGUUUUGAGCAGUGUUUUAUGUUGAUGUUGGUUUGUGAUGAUUUUGGAAGCUAGAAUUAUUUUAGAUUGGUAUGUGUUAAGUAUAAUGACCUUGGGUUGGGUAUUGAGACCAAAUUUAUGAUGUUAGCCAUGAGGUGUUGUUGGCCUUGAUUGGGUAUUUGAGUAUUUGUCUCUGUGAUGUUCACUGUACGGGUAUACCAACUGUGUGUGUGUAAUGUGAUAGUGUAGCCAUAUUUUUGGACCAGGUGUUCAUGUUGGUCGAAAGCUUGGGGAGGAUUUUAUGGUUUAAUGUUAAGGUUCAUUUUUGUGGGUUCGGUUAUGUAGAUCCUUAGAUAAGAAAUGCUGUAAUUUUAGGUAUUGACCGAAAGGUUAAAGGGCUAUGUUUUUUGGAAAUUAAAAUAAGAAAUGUAAAGCAUAUUUACUAGGUUGAGUGUCUUUAAAAUUAAAAGCAUGUUUAUCAUAUUGAGUUUCUUAAACUCAUAAUGAUAAAUAUGAAUGAUCUUCUAAAAGAAAAACGAUAAUUGUACUUAUGUGAAUAUAAUUGGGAUUUAUGAAUGAUGUUAAUAUCCUAUGUAUGUGCAUAUAUUUGUUGCAGAUGAUGAGUUAAGAGUUGAGAGACUGUACAAAAGGGGACUGUGAGUAUUUCUUACUCACUGAGGAUGAUACGUGUGGUUUAGUCUUUAAUGACUGCAUGAGAUUGUGGUGUUAACCACAAUCACAUGCGAGUUUUGCAGGAACGAAGAUAGGAGCUGCUAGGUUGAUUAAGGACGAGACCUUUAGUUUGUAAAUUUUAUAUACAAUGAUUCCGUAAUGUUCGUACCGCAUGUGGUACGCUUAUUGUUAUUUAAAUGUAUGUUAUUAUAUCAGAUCAAAUAGUUAUUAUUUUA